rnacentral:rRNA from 1 species
GACGAACGCUGGCGGCGUGCCUAAUACAUGCAAGUAGAACGCUGAAGGAGGAGCUUGCUUCUCUGGAUGAGUUGCGAACGGGUGAGUAACGCGUAGGUAACCUGCCUGGUAGCGGGGGAUAACUAUUGGAAACGAUAGCUAAUACCGCAUAAGAGUAGAUGUUGCAUGACAUUUGCUUAAAAGGUGCAAUUGCAUCACUACCAGAUGGACCUGCGUUGUAUUAGCUAGUUGGUGGGGUAACGGCUCACCAAGGCGACGAUACAGAGCCGACCGGAGAGGGGGAUCGGCCACACUGGGACUGAGACACGGCCCAGACUCCUACGGGAGGCAGCAGUAGGGAAUCUUCGGCAAUGGACGGAAGUCUGACCGAGCAACGCCGCGUGAGUGAAGAAGGUUUUCGGAUCGUAAAGCUCUGUUGUAAGAGAAGAACGAGUGUGAGAGUGGAAAGUUCACACUGUGACGGUAUCUUACCAGAAAGGGACGGCUAACUACGUG